ACACUUAGCUAGCAAGGGGAAUACCACAAUCAAGAAUGUGGAUUCCCCGGGCCCAGGUUAGUCAACUGUACUUGAACUGGGUUGACUCCUGUGAUUUCCCCAAAUGUGGGAAACUCAACUGCAUUACAUAAGGUAGUAGGAGACUGCAGUUGCACUGUUCAUCCAU